ACGGCUUACCAUGGCGACGAUAGGUAGGGGGCCUGAGAGGGUGGUCCCCCACACUGGUACUGAGACACGGACCAGACUCCUACGGGAGGCAGCAGUGAGGAAUAUUGGUCAAUGGGCGCAAGCCUGAACCAGCCAUGCCGCGUGCAGGAAGAAUGCCCUAUGGGUUGUAAACUGCUUUUAUUUAGGAAUAAACCCUUGUACGUGUACAAGUCUGAAGGUACUAAAUGAAUAAGCACCGGCUAACUCCGUGCCAGCAGCCGCGGUAAUACGUAGGGUGCAAGCGUUGUCCGGAUUUAUUGGGCGUAAAGAGCUCGUAGGCGGUCUGUCGCGUCGGAUGUGAAAACUUGGGGCUCAACCCUGAGCUUGCAUUCGAUACGGGCAGACUAGAGGAUGGCAGGGGAGACUGGAAUUCCUGGUGUAGCGGUGGAAUGCGCAGAUAUCAGGAGGACACCGGUGGCGAAGGCGGGUCUCUGGGCCUUUCUGACGCUGAGGAGCGAAGCGUGGGGAGCAACAGGAUUAGAUACCCUGGUAGUC
rnacentral:rRNA from 1 species